rfam:Rattus norvegicus chromosome 2, whole genome shotgun sequence.
GGGGAGGUGGCUCAGCGGUUAAGAGCACUGACUGCUUGUUCUUCCAGAGGUCCUGAGUUCAAUUCCCAGCAACCACA